GAUGAACGCUGGCGGCGUGCUUAACACAUGCAAGUCGAACGGAAAGGCCCUGCUUUUGUGGGGUGCUCGAGUGGCGAACGGGUGAGUAACACGUGAGUAACCUGCCCUUGACUUUGGGAUAACUUCAGGAAACUGGGGCUAAUACCGGAUAGGAGCUCCUGCUGCAUGGUGGGGGUUGGAAAGUUUCGGCGGUUGGGGCUGGACUCGCGGCUUAUCAGCUUGUUGGUGGGGUAGUGGCUUACCAAGGCUUUGACGGGUAGCCGGCCUGAGAGGGUGACCGGCCACAUUGGGACUGAGGUACGGCCCAGACUCCAACGGGAGGCAGCAGUGGGGAAUAUUGCACAAUGGGCGGAAGCCUGAUGCGGCAACGCCGCGUGCGGGAUGACGGCCUUCGGGUUGUAAACCGCUUUCGCCUGUGACGAAGCGUGAGUGACGGUAAUGGGUAAAGAAGCACCGGCUAACUACGUG
rnacentral:rRNA from 1 species